AAGUCUCACUCAGUCACCCAGGCUGGAGUGCAGUGGCACGAUCUUGACUCACUGCAACCUCUGCCUCCUGGGUUCAAGCGAUUCUCCUGCUUCAGCCUCCUGAGUAGCUGGGACUACAGACACCCACCACCACGCCUGGCUAAUUUUUGUAUUUUUAAUAGAGACUGUUUUUUUUUCACCAUAUUAGCCAGGCUGGUCUUGAACUCCUGAUCUUGUGAUCUGCCUGCCUCAGCCUCCCAAAGUGCUGGGAUUACAGGUGUAAAACCUCUCUUUUUUGUCAUCUGGAUUCGUAGAACAAGGGCAAUAGCUGGGUGUUCAAUGACAGAAGUGACAUGAAGUCCUCAAAUCCUUGUGAUGGCAUCUGGACCACUGCUUGUCUCUGCAAUUGAGUGGCCAAUCCACAGUGCUCCCUGGAAUUCAUAACUGCCACUAAGACUAAGACGAUUGCAAACUUUCUGUGACCACAUCACCACUUUGUUUCUCGAUCUUCUCCAAG